rnacentral:ribozyme from 1 species
AAAUACAAAAAGAGCUAAAAUCAAAUAUAUAUUGCUGAACUCGAGCCCCCUUUCUUUCUUUUUCUCUCUGUCUCAGGGUUUGUCUUUUUUUUAGGACCCUUGAGUUUACAAAGGGAGAGAGAGAGUGAAACAAUUUACACACAUUGUAGAAAAUAUAAAAAUAUAAACAAACAGACAGAGAGAGAGGAAUCACUCCCACCUUUCUUUAACCCCCCGACGACAUCUCUCGCCUAAAAAUAAAAAAAACAAUAGAAGAAAAUAUUUAUUAUUACUAUUUUUUUUACAAA